rnacentral:rRNA from 1 species
UACGUAGGUGGCAAGCGUUGUUCGGAUUUACUGGGCGUAAAGCGCGCGUAGGCGGCCCUGUAAGUCCGUUGUGAAAGUCAAAGGCUCAACCUUUGAAAGCCGAUGGAUACUGCAGGGCUAGAGUCCGGAAGAGGCGAGUGGAAUUCCUGGUGUAGCGGUGGAAUGCGCAGAUAUCAGGAGGAACACCAAUAGCGAAGGCAGCUCGCUGGGACGGUACUGACGCUAAGGCGCGAAAGCGUGGGGAGCGAACAGG